UGAGGAAUAUUGGUCAAUGGGCGGAAGCCUGAACCAGCCAAGUCGCGUGAGGGAAGACGGCCCUAAGGGUUGUAAACCUCUUUUGCCGGGGAGCAAAAGCGCCGUGCGCGGUGCUAUGAGAGUACCCGGAGAAAAAGCAUCGGCUAACUCCGUGCCAGCAGCCGCGGUAAUACGGAGGAUGCAAGCGUUAUCCGGAUUUAUUGGGUUUAAAGGGUGCGUAGGCUGUUUGACAAGUCAGUGGUGAAAGCCCGGGGCUUAACUCCGGAAUUGCCGUUGAUACUGUUGAGCUGGAAUACGGAUGCCGUGGGAGGAAUGAGUAGUGUAGCGGUGAAAUGCAUAGAUAUUACUCAGAACACCGAUUGCGAAGGCAUCUCACGAAUCCGUCAUUGACGCUGAGGCACGAAAGCGUGGGGAUCAAACAGGAUUAGAUACCCUGGGUA
rnacentral:rRNA from 1 species